AGAAGAAGAUUGUAACGUCAGCUCAUCGUAAGCAUUAGGUAAGUGCUCGCUCACAAGCUUAUGAAUAAUUAUAUUGCAGCGAAUGCGUUACGACAGGCACUGUCAUUGUGUGAAUAAUUAAUGAUAUAGUGAUCCAAGCAUUACGUCGAGUUUGCCGUAAGCUUACCUCAUAGCCAUCAUAAGCCAGGUACGCUGACGGAAGGGUAACGUAACCACACGGAAGAGCCAAAAAGUACUAUGGAGGAAUACAAACACAAAAGAAGCAGCAGUAACAACAGAAGACAGUUUUGUCAUGUAAAUGGCCUUGGGCAAAAGUCUUUAUAACUGCAAUAACAUAAGUUAGUGGAAACAGUGUCAGGCUUUCCCAGAUGGAGACAAUAUAGUUAGAUUAUUCACCCAGUGUUUAUUCACAAGAUUGACCGAAGCUUAUUUAGAUGACCAAAUUAUGAACAAUGACCCACCCUGAGGCUGUAAGAGUGUGCCUGAUGAGAGAAUGCGUACUUGAACCAGUUAUAGGACUUAAUAUAUUCAAGAAGACCAAGCGAUCCUUAUAGGACUACAUGCAAAGCAAUGUACUCCAGACCGCACAACUGGACAUACAGAUUGUGCCCUGAUGCCAUCUGCCCCGUUCUCCCAGCCUCAUCUUCCCUCUCUAUGCCUAGCUUCACAUCGAUUGGCUCUUCUUUGGCUCCCCUCAUUCCGUCUGCCUGCCUCGCUGCUCUCCCUGAUAACAUUUCCUGACUGAUGCCUUGCACUCUGACUCUUUCUGCAAGGUGCCAUUCUCAGCAGUGACUCAAUUUAGUGCCACCCUGCUGCUUGGCAUUGCACUUCUGAGGUCAUCACCAUCUUUCUUCAGCCAACCAAAAUGAUUCUCACCAACCACCCCAGCUCUGCUAAGCUUGAUGUUGGAGGUCUGCUGUUUUUGAAGCAGGGGACCACUGUCCAUUAAAGGCUUCAUAAUCCAUUUAACAAAAUCACAUAAGAUAGGGUAGUUCAUACUCCAUGCGAUGUGCCAUACAAUGGAAGGGCCAUGUUCCUUAUCACAUCUGGAUACUGCAAAGCUCCUGUCUCCUCAACAAUUUACGAACUAAUCAAUUAUUAAAUGAAGAAAUGCUAUGUAAAUGCAAAGAUAUUUCUUCCUGUGGAAUUUGAGUCUUAAAUUUAGUAAUUACUGUUUUAUGGCAUAAAUAAAAGUUAAAUAUUAUAUUA